GGUCUGGGGAGGGAUUCCAGAGCACAGUGGGGAGCAGGCAGGGCAGUGUGCUCCUGGCUCCUUUACUGAGGCUUCUCCGGGGAGAGUCAGGCCACCCCAAAAUUUGCCUGUUUCUGCUGUCUCUUGGCCAUGAAUGAAUUCCCAUCUUUGACCCCUAUGGGGUCCUUGGGGAACCAAGUAAACAGAGACCCCCAGAACUCCCUAGAGGAGGUUCCCGUAGUUGCUUCAAAGCCUCGACACAGCCUAGGCAUUCUUCAUGUCUCCUACCAUGUAAGCCACCAAGCUGGGCCCUGGUGGGACUUCACAUCUUGCCGGCAGCGGUGGGACAGGCAGAUCCUCAAAGAGGUCUCCUUGUACGUCGAGAGCGGGCAGAUCCUGUGCAUCUUAGGGAGCUCAGGCUCAGGGAAAACCACGCUGCUGGAUGCCAUGUCUGGGAGGCUGCGGCGCACAGGGACCUUCCUUGGGGAGGUGUUUGUUAACGGCCAGCCACUGCGCAGGGAGCAGUUCCAGGACUGCUUCUCCUAUGUCCAGCAGAGUGACACACUGCUGAGCAACCUGACCGUGCGGGAGACUCUGCGCUAUGCCGCGCUGCUGGCUGUGCGCCACGGCUCCCCGGGGUUUUUCCAGAGGAAGGUGGACGCAGUUAUGGUGGAGCUGAGUCUGAGCCAUGUGGCAGAUCGACUGAUUGGCAGCUGCAACCUUGGGGGGAUUUCCAAUGGCGAGCGGCGCCGGGUCUCCAUCGCAGCCCAGCUCCUCCAGGAUCCCAAGUUCAUGCUGUUUGAUGAGCCUACCACAGGCCUGGACUGCAUGACAGCAAAUCAAAUCGUUGUCCUCCUGGCAGAGCUGGCUCACAGGGACCGCAUUGUGAUUGUCACCAUCCAUCAGCCACGCUCUGAGCUCUUCCAGCUCUUUGAUAAAAUCGCCAUUCUGAGCUACGGAGAGCUGGUUUUCUGUGGGACACCAGCAGAAAUGCUUGAUUUCUUCAGUGGUUGCAGUUACCCUUGUCCUGAACAUUCAAACCCUUUUGACUUUUAUAUGGACCUGACAUCAGUGGAUACUCAAAGCAAAGAACGGGAAAUAGAAACCUACAAGAGAGUUCAAAUGAUUGAAUCUGCCUACAAAGAAUCAGCAAUUUAUCGCAAAACCUUGGAAAAUAUUGAAAGAACAAAACACCUGAAAACAUUACCAGUGGUUCCUUUCAAAACCAAAGAUUCUCCUGGAGCUCUCUCUAAACUGGAUGUUCUCUUGAGGAGAGUGACAAGGAACUUAAUGAGAAAUAAGCUGGCGGUGAUGAUGCGUCUUGUUCAGAAUCUGAUCAUGGGUUUGUUCCUCAUCUUCUACCUUCUGCGGGUGCCGAGCGAUGUGCUGAAGGGUGCUGUCCAGGACCGCGUGGGACUCCUGUACCACUUUGUGGGUGCCACCCCAUACACAGGCAUGCUGAACGCUAUCAAUCUGUUUCCUGUGCUGCGAGCUGUCAGUGACCAGGAGAGCCAAGACGGCUUGUACCAGAAGUGGCAGAUGCUGCUGGCCUAUGUGCUGCAUGCGCUCCCCUUCAGUGUCCUUGCCACCAUGAUAUUCAGCAGUGUAUGCUACUGGACUCUGGGCUUAUAUCCCGAGGUUGCCAGAUUUGGAUAUUUCUCUGCUGCUCUCUUGGCCCCCCACUUAAUUGGUGAAUUUCUAACUCUUGUGCUACUUGGUAUGGUCCAAAACCCAAAUGUGGUCAACAGCAUAGUGGCUCUGCUCUGCAUUGCUGGGAUACUUGUGGGCUCUGGAUUAGUAAGAAACACAGAAGAAAUGUCCAUUCCUUUUAAAAUCUUCAGUUAUUUUACAUUCCAAAAAUAUUGCUCUGAGAUUCUUAUAGUCAAUGAGUUCUAUGGACAGAAUUUCACUUGUGGCAGCUCAAAUGGUUCUGUGACAACUAAUCCCAUGUGUGUCUUCACUCAAGGAAUUACAUUUAUUGAGAGAAUCUGCCCGGGUGCAACAUCCAGAUUCACAACAAACUUUCUGACUCUGUAUGCCUUUAUCCCAGUUCUUGUCAUCCUCGGAAUAGUUGUUUUUAAAAUAAGGGAUCAUCUCAUUAGCAGAUAGUAAAGAACAUGGCUUUGAAAACGACCUUAAGCCCCAGACGUGCAGGACUACUAUGAAUGUCUGAAAAAAGAAAGCCACUUGUUUCUGGAUAGUACAUCUUAAGUCUUGUAACUUCAUCUGUGACUCAGAGAUCAUGCAGGCUUUGAAUGAUAUUCUGACUUGCAGGGAUACAUGCUAUUUGGAAAUUGUGAGUGAGCUGGUCCAAAAAUGUAAAUAGUAAUAAUUCAUAAAGUUAUGGGAGACUAGUGUGACUGUUUUCUUUGUUUUAGACACAAAAUAAUCUUGCUGUUUUAGACAGCAAAAUAAGUCAGUUAAAAAAUUAUGCUUACAGGGCACAUGACUGGCUCUGUCAGUGGAGCAUGUGACUCUUGAUCUCAGGGUUGUGAGUUCGAACCCCAUACUGGGUGUAGAAACUACUUAAAGAUAAAUUUUUAAAAUUAUGCUUACAAACAAAAUUAUGCUUACAUUUGAUAAAAGCCUUGGUAAGAAGACAUUUGAGUGGUUACUGACUAUAAGUAACAAAAAAGAGUUGUGGGUUUGAGUGAAGCAAAGCAUCCUGCAAAAUUGGGCAGUUGGUGGGAAUGCUUUCAUUAUCCCUGAAAAGCCCAUAUUUAUGUGUGCACGUCCACAUGAGGGUCUUAGUUACCCAGUCACACUGAAAGGAUGUUGGACAGAUGCUGGAUGAAGAUGACCCCUGAUACAGAGCACCUGGUGAUUUUUGGGGAGAUAAAGUGAAAGCCUGUGGGAAUGGGCUGAGCUGAGAUCACAGCAUACGAGACAGACCUCAGGGUCCCUGAAGGUGAAAAACUAGUGCUGAGAAAAAUACCCUAGUCACUGCUCCUGUGGAUGGCUGUGUUCAGGUUACCCUUGCAACAAUGUGACGGCCCAAGUGCCAGAGCUCUACAAAUCCCACCGGAGAGGCUGUCAGGGCAUUCAGUUUAUAAUGCUUGCUGAUAUAAAUUUGGGUUCUGCACAGUGUCUCAUUUCAAAGAUCUGAGAAAAUUUUAAGUAUCAGGUCAUGAUGAAUUUACCAGCUUUUGCAUUCUUACAUCAGACUUUUGUAUCAAAAAUGGCACUAGCUGGGCAUCUUUGGAACACAGUCUCCAUUUUUAACCACUUUUCUAAGAGAUCCUGUGUUUGCAUCCUUUCAUACUGGGUAGUCCUGAAUUUUUCUGGUACAAGAAAAGUUUAUCUGAAUUUUCUAACCAAAAAAAAAAAAAAAAAAAUUAAAUAAAUCCACAAACAAAAGAAUAUUGUGACAUUCUCUCCCCAGCGAGGUGUAAGAAUCACUACCCCAUCUUCAACAUAAACUGGAAAACCCAAAGAGGAUACGUGAACAUUAUGUCAUCUCUGGGUGAUGGAAUGAUUUAAAUUCCUUCUUUAUGCAUAUCAAAUUUUUUUUAUAUAGUGACGAUGUACUAUUUCAAUUAUAUAUUUUUUUAAGAUUUUAUUUUUAAGUACUCUACACCAACCAUGGAGCUCGAACUCAUGACCCCAAACAUUAAGAGUUGCACAAUCUACCAACCGAGCCAGCCAGGCACCCCUUUGGUAAUUUUAAAAGUAAAAAAAAAUAAUAAUAAAACAAAUUGAGAAAAAUCUAUGAAAUUCUAGAGGUAUUUUGUGAUAAAACUCAAGAUAAAAUAAAUGAUAAAGAUACUA